GGCACUAUAGCCAAGUGGUUAAGGCGAUAGAUUCGAAUUGCAAUUCAUCUAUUACUCUCUGAGUGCGCAGGUUCAAAUCCUGCUGGUGUCG
rnacentral:tRNA from 1 species